AGUGACUGAACUGAACUGAUGGCCUUAAAGGUGGUUGAAAAUCCAAACUUUUAUUCCACAGGGCACAAACCCUGAUACUUCACACCCCCUGAACACACUGCUUUCCUCCUAUUCUUUUCAAGACAUAGGGCUCUCUCUUCAGCUUCUUGCCCAGUUACUACUGCAUGUCACAGUCAUGGUUCUAAUGGUCCUUUCCAGACCACUGUACUCCCAUGGUUCCAGUUUCAAUUAGGCCCCAAUUACAGGAAACUUCAAAAUAUACGAAAGAACAGGGAUUAGGAUAAUGAACUCAUAUGUAGCCAUCACUGAGCAUCAACAACUGGCCUUGAGUUCAACAGCCAAUUUUAUUUCCUCUACCUCUAUUCAUUCUGGUCCUUCCUUGAAUUAUUUGGAAGUAAAUCUCAAACAUUUUAUCCAUAAGUAUUACAACAUGUAGCAUUAUCACACAAUUAAAAUUAAUAAUAGCUCUUUAAUAUUGUUAAAGGUACAAUCAGUAUUUAUAUUUCUUAUUUCCUUGCAAUUGUUUUUAAAAAAAUCAUGUUUGUAUCCAAAUAAGGUCACAUCAUAAUACUGAUUUCUGUAUCUCUUGGAUCUCUAGGUUUCCCCUCCAUUUCUUUUAAUCCCUUUGCUUUUUUUUUUUUUUUUUUUUAAAUGCUGUAAACAAAACCAGGUUGUCUUUCUUGCAGGCUUAGCCACAGUCUGGAGUUUUCUGGUCGUAUCGCCAUUAUCACAGUGAUUCAACUAUCUCUGUGAUGUGUCUUUCUUGUAAACUGAUAGGCAGAGAAGUUUAAUCAGACUCAUGUUUUUUGUUGUUUUUUUUUUUUCUCAAUUUUUUUGAAGGUCAGCUUCAGAAGUAAUGGUGUGUAUUCAAAUCAGGAGAUACAUGAAGUCCACUUGUCUCCAGAUAGCAACUAUCAUUGAUGAGACUGAUUAAUUAAGGGGCAAAGUAGUAAUAUUCACAUUCUCUUACUCCUUCAAGUGUAUCAUAGGCUGGAACACUGAGGACCGCACUUGUAAGAGCAGAGUAUAAGAUAAGAACCAUCCAGUUCAUGUGCAUGAAUGCUUUGAUUUGGAGAACAUUUUCUGGCCACAGCCUUGCUAUCUCUGCCCACUAAACCUUAAAUGUGAUGUCACUCUACUACCCAUUCUAAUGGCCUAUAUUCCUACACUACCCUCACCUCUCAGUGAGAAUGGAAAUCAGUUCCAUUUUUAUCCUUGACUUUGAAAUGUCUGAUGCAACACCCAUAAAUUUGUGUCUCAUUGAAUCUCUUGUCCACACCUCAGCAGCUCAUAGCUUGGGCAGCUUAUCCAACCCCGAGUUGCCUUGUAGUAAAACAUAGUUUGGACUUCCCAGGUGGUGCUAACGGUAAAGAACCUGUCUGCCAAUGCCGGAGAUGUACGAGAUGUGGAUUCGAUCCCGGGGUCAGAAAGAGUCCCUGGAGGAGGGCAUGACAUGCCACUCCACGGCAACUCUCAUUCCCAUUCUUGCCUGGAGAAUCCCAUGGAUGAAGGAGCCUGGCAGGCUCCAGUCCACAGGGUUGCAAAGAACUGGACACAACUGAAUGACUUAGCAUGCACGAAAACGUGGCUGAGCAGCCUCUGCAAAGACAUCAUAAAGAUGAGCGUGACAUUGCUUUGGCAGAGCUCAGACUGGAACUCAGUGAGGCUGGUGUGAGAGACCACUUAGUCUCCCCACUUCUCCCCGGACACGGCACGGGCGAUGUCAGCAGGCGCGGCCCCUCUGUCCUCCCCUUCCCUCCUUCCACCUCGCUGCUCUCGGUGGCCUUUGAGGUCUGUUCUUCCAGAGAUGGCAAAUAUUUGUGAUGGUAAAAUAACUGAGAAACUAUGGUGUUUUACAAACGCUUAACAUUUCUCCAUUAUGUAUUUUUCUAUUUGACAAAAAUAAAAUGGUUUUCUAUAUGGGACAAAAUCAAAAAUAAAAUGUUAGUAAGACCAUUCAAGGUGAGGAAACUUCCACACACAUUCUGGGCACAAACAGCACCCACCCCUCACUAGACCCUACACCUACCCGUGGCGGUAAAGGGGCUGGUGCAUUAAUGGGACAUUUCAGUUCUGCCCCGGGUAUGGUGAUUUUGGCAUGGGGUAGUGCUCAGCAUAGCUCAGGAAUAGUCCCUGAACACUCUCAUGAGCCCCAAAGCAUUGGGCCAUGCUGGGCCCUGCAAACUCACUGGGGAGCUGGGGAGAGGAGCUGUGGUCUGAGCAUUUGGGCCCUCCCAGGGUCAGCGAGCAGCCUGUGCCCAGCUGAUACCCAAAGGCAUGAAGUCAAGGGGGUGGAAACAGCCGCAUCCUGAGGAAGCCCCCAGCCCACAUCAAGAAGGGCAGAGCCCUCUGGCAGCUGCCCAGACCCUGCACACUGCGGGCAUCUCAGCAGCACCAGGGCAUCUGGAGGGCGGGGAAGAGGUGGGGCCCCCAGAUACCAUGAUGCCUCCCUACCUGCCCAGCAGUGGGCUCCUCCCCUUCCUGAAACAAACUGGAGCCUUCUUUUCUGCAUGGAGUUCUGACCUUUGACUCAGAGGAUAGGAGAGCAAGGUCAUGGUUGCAGUACCAUCAGAUAGGGUCGUUGUCCAUUCUUCCUCACUGGGGGUCUGCUCAGCAGGGACUGAUGGAUCCCAGACACUGAUCCCAGUGCUUUCCCAACUGGAUGACCCAGGCCACUCAACACCACUCGGACCAGAAUUUCCAAUCAGCUUCUGCAGCAUGAAACUAGUAGACUGACCUUCUAAUAUGAAAGAUAAAAACUAAAGCCAACAAACAGGAAAA